CGCUCGUCAAGAGGCGCCGCGAGGCGCAAAGAGCUGAGGGACCGAGCCCCAUGAAGCUCCGGCAACCAGCCUCAGGGCAUGGUGCCAAAUCUCGGCAGGCCAAGGGCCUGGAAGACGGGGG
rnacentral:ncRNA from 2 species